GACGAACGCUGGCGGCGUGCCUAAUACAUGCAAGUCGAGCGCAGGAAGCUCACGGAACUCUUCGGAGGGAAGUGAAGGGAAUGAGCGGCGGACGGGUGAGUAACACGUAAGGAACCUGCCCCAAGGAUUGGGAUAACUCCGAGAAAUCGGAGCUAAUACCGAAUAGUUCUUCAGACCGCAUGGUCUGAUGAUGAAAGGCGCUCCGGCGUCACCUUGGGAUGGCCUUGCGGUGCAUUAGCUAGUUGGUGGGGUAAUGGCCCACCAAGGCGACGAUGCAUAGCCGACCUGAGAGGGUGAUCGGCCACACUGGGACUGAGACACGGCCCAGACUCCUACGGGAGGCAGCAGUAGGGAAUCUUCCACAAUGGACGAAAGUCUGAUGGAGCAACGCCGCGUGAGUGAUGAAGGUUUUCGGAUCGUAAAACUCUGUUGUAAGGGAAGAACAGGUAUGAGAGGUAAUGCUCAUGCUAUGACGGUACCUUACGAGAAAGCCACGGCUAACUACGUGCCAGCAGCCGCGGUAAUAC
rnacentral:rRNA from 1 species